rnacentral:rRNA from 1 species
GCCAGACUCCUACGGGAGGCAGCAGUGGGGAAUAUUGGGCAAUGGAGGAAACUCUUACCCAGCAAUGCCGCGUGAAUGAAGAAGGUCUUCGGAUUGUAAAGUUCUUUAAUUGGGGACGAAAAAAAUGACGGUACCUCAUGAAUAAGCCACGGCUAACUACGUGCCAGCAGCCGCGGUAAUACGUAGGUGGCAAGCGUUAUCCGGAUUUACUGGGUGUAAAGGGCGUGUAGGCGGGACUGCAAGUCAGAUGUGAAAAUUAUGGGCUCAACCCAUAACCUGCAUUUGAAACUGUAGUUCUUGAGUGAUGGAGAGGCAGGCGGAAUUCCGUGUGUAGCGGUGAAAUGCGUAGAUAUACGGAGGAACACCAGUGGCGAAGGCGGCCUGCUGGACAUUAACUGACGCUGAGGCGCGAAAGCGUGGGGAGCAAACAGGAUUAGAUACCCGAGUA